GCCCGACUAACUCAGUCGGUAGAGCACGAGACUCUUAAUCUAGGGGUCGUGGGUUCGUGUCCCACAUUGGGCG